rnacentral:rRNA from 1 species
GAUGAACGCUGGCGGCGUGCCUAAUACAUGCAAGUCGAGCGAACGGACGAGAAGCUUGCUUCUCUGAUGUUAGCGGCGGACGGGUGAGUAACACGUGGAUAACCUACCUAUAAGACUGGGAUAACUUCGGGAAACCGGAGCUAAUACCGGAUGAUAUUUUGAACCGCAUGGUUCAAAAGUGAAAGACGGUCUUGCUGUCACUUAUAGAUGGAUCCGCGCUGCAUUAGCUAGUUGGUAAGGUAACGGCUUACCAAGGCAACGAUGCAUAGCCGACCUGAGAGAGUGAUCGGCCGCACUGGAACUGAGACACGGUCCAGACUCCUACGGGAGGCAGCAGUAGGGAAUCUUCCGCAAUGGGCGAAAGCCUGACGGAGCAACGCCGCGUGAGUGAUGAAGGUCUUCGGAUCGUAAAACUCUGUUAUUAGGGAAGAACAUAUGUGUAAGUAACUGUGCGCAUCUUGACGGUACCUAAUCAGAAAGCCACGGCUAACUACGUG